CCCCACAGGGGCUGGAGCUGCCAUCCUAGCUGAGCUCAAUCCUGAGUGGGUGAAACCUGUUUGAGGCGGAUCAGAGCCUUAGAGCCCCAGAUAGGCACACACAAAAAAAGCUAAGAAACAGAUGUGAACAAGAGCUCUCAAAAAUGCGUAGCAAAAAGGCCCACAGUUGCACCGGGUUUUCUCCAGUGGCAGUGCAGACCUGCACCAUCCCUGUGGGAGCUCGAGGAGGCAAAAUUCCUGAGCUUGCUGGCGAAGAAGGGAACACCCAAGACCACGGAAGCAAGCUACACUGAAAAACACAUAUCCAAGCGGGUCUUUUUGGCACUGAAAGCCAAGCUGCUAUCCUGUGCCACAACACACAACCUGCUCAUUGUGUCAGAUCUUUAAACGGUUAUCUGCUAACAACGUGAAACGUGUACGUGGUGGGCGUGAGAUUCAUCAGUACGUCCGGAUGUGCACACUCUUCAGAGCUUGCGUGCUGCCUGUUUGUUUAUUGGGCGUAUCUUCUAGACUAACACAGAUCCUGACUUCACCAGGCAGCUUGGCGCAUACACACAGACUAACGUAUCA